ACGCUCGACACCUACGGGAGGAGCAGUGGGGAAUAUUGCACAAUGGGGGAAACCCGUGAUGCAGCAACGCCGCGUGAAGGAAGACGGUUUUCGGAUUGUAAACUUCUGUUCUUAGUGAAGAUAGUGACGGUAGCUAAGGAGCAAGCCACGGCUAACUACGUGCCAGCAGCCGCGGUAAUCUGAGCGGGCUGGCAAGGC
rnacentral:rRNA from 1 species